AAAAUGAUGGUUUAACCCCUUCCCCUGCUA
rnacentral:tRNA from 2 species